rnacentral:lncRNA from 1 species
AUGCUCACAUGCCUACUGACUCUAUUGAACGUAUUUACAAUAAGAAGACUGACCAAUUAACUAAAAUUAGCUCUAAUACCCUGAAGAUCAUCCCAAGUGCCCAAAAUGGGUGCGCGAACACACUGGACAUGCAGGAGCCAAAGCUACGUACAGGAUUUUUAUCUCAAAACAAAGAAAAGGCAAUGAGUACAACUGAAGAAAUCCAAAGGGUACAAGUAGAUUGCUGGCUACUUGGGAAGAUGUGGUGGGAAAACACUUUCUUACAAACUAACAAGGUUCUCAUGCUCACAAGGAAGGCACGAGAGAAAAAGAAGGUGAAAGUUGCUUUUGUGGUUCAGAGGACCGAGGAACAAAUAACAGAAUGA